rnacentral:rRNA from 1 species
UCCGUAGGUGAACCUGCGGAAGGAUCAUUAUUGAAUGAACAUGGGGAUCGUUGUCGCUGGCCCACUUUACUGGGGGCAUGUGCACGCCUUCUCCAUUCAUCCACACACACCUGUGAACUUGUGAGACGGAUAGUAGUUCCCCCUUCACUGGGGGGUGCGAGCUCCGUCUGUCAAUACAUAAACUCUAAUAAAAUUAAAUCUGAAUGUAAUCUGAUGUAACACAUCUUUAAACUAAGUUUCAACAACGGAUCUCUUGGCUCUCGCAUCGAUGAAGAACGCAGCGAAAUGCGAUAAGUAAUGUGAAUUGCAGAAUUCAGUGAAUCAUCGAAUCUUUGAACGCACCUUGCGCUCCUUGGUAUUCCUCGGAGCAUGCCUGUUUGAGUAUCAUGAAAUUAUCAAAAUAAAUCUUUUGUUCACUCGAUUGAUUUUAUUUUGGACUUGGGGGUCUGCAGAUUCACGUCUGCUCUCCUUAAAUUCAUUAGCUGGAUCUUGAUGAGCUCGGUUCCACUCGGCGUGAUAAGUAUCACUCGGCUGGAGGGGGACACUUUGGUAAAAAAGGGGGUGGGCCGGGGGAUUGGUCUAUGGAACCGGCUUCUAAUAGGUCCAUUGGACUUGGGGGACAAUAAUUUUGGGAUCUGAUCUCAAAUCAGGUAGGACUACCCGCUGAACUUAAGCAUAUCAAUAAGCGGAGG